rnacentral:rRNA from 1 species
UACAGAGGUCCCGAGCGUUGUUCGGAUUCACUGGGCGUAAAGGGUGCGUAGGUGGCAUGGUAAGUUUGAUGUGAAAGCUCAGGGCUCAACCCUGAAAUGGCAUUGAAUACUACUGUGCUGGAGGUUUGGAGGGGGGACUGGAAUUCUUGGUGUAGCAGUGAAAUGCGUAGAUAUCUGGAGGAACACCGGUGGCGAAGGCGGCAUCCUGGACCGGCAUUGACGCUGAGGCGCGAAAGCUAGGGGAGCAAACGGG